GCGGGCGUAGCUCAGUGGUAGAGCGUCUCCUUGCCAAGGAGAAGGUCGCGGGUUCGACCCCCGUCGCCCGCU
rnacentral:tRNA from 1 species